rnacentral:rRNA from 1 species
AGAUUGAACGCUGGCGGCAUGCCUAACACAUGCAAGUCGAACGGGAGUAGCAAUACUCUAGUGGCGGACGGGUGAGGAAUACGUAGGAAUUUGCCCUUAAGUGGGGAUAACCCGGGGAACCCGGAUUAAUACCGCAUGACCUCGAAAGAGCAAAGUGGGGGAUCGCAAGACCUCACGCUUUUGGAGAAGCCUACGUCGGAUUAGCUAGUUGGUGAGGUAAUGGCUCACCAAGGCGACGAUCCGUAACUGGUCUGAGAGGAUGAUCAGUCACACCGGAACUGAGACACGGUCCGGACUCCUACGGGAGGCGAGCGUAGUGGGGAAUAGUUGGACAAGUGGGCGCAAGCCUGAUCCAGCAAUGCCGCGUGUGUGGAAGAAGGCUUCGGUGUAAGCUACGUUUAAGUUGGUAAGAAAAACGUCGACGUACUAACA